UGCAUCGUUGUCAUUGAAACC
rnacentral:piRNA from 1 species